rnacentral:rRNA from 1 species
GCAUAUCAAUAAGCGGAGGAAAAGAAACCAACAGGGAUUGCCCCAGUAACGGCGAGUGAAGCGGCAACAGCUCAAAUUUGAAAUCUGGCGUCUUCGGCGUCCGAGUUGUAAUUUGCAGAGGGUGCCUCGGGUGGAGCACCGGUCCAAGUCCCUUGGAACAGGAUACCGCAGAGGGUGAGAGUCCCGUAUCCGGCCGGUCGUGUCCCCCGCUGUGAGGCCCCUUCGACGAGUCGAGUUGUUUGGGAAUGCAGCUCUAAAUGGGUGGUAAAUUCCAUCUAAAGCUAAAUACUGGCCAGAGACCGAUAGCGCACAAGUAGAGUGAUCGAAAGAUGAAAAGCACUUUGAAAAGAGAGUCAAACAGUACGUGAAAUUGUUGAAAGGGAAGCGUAUACGGCCAGACUUGGCCGCGGAUGCUCAGCCCGUCUUCUGGCGGGUGCACUCUUCCGCGGACAGGCCAGCAUCGGUUUGGGCGGCCGGACAACGGCGCUGGGAAUGUGGCACCCCUCGGGGUGUGUUAUAGCCCGGCGUGCAAUGCGGCCAGCCCGGACCGAGGACCGCGCAUUGCUAGGAUGCUGGCGUAAUGGCCUUAUACGGCCCGUCUUGAAACACGGACCAAGGAGUCUAACAUCUAUGCGAGUGUUUGGGUGUCAAGCCCGGACGCGCAAUGAAAGUGAACGGAGGUGGGAGCUUCGGCGCACCAUCGACCGAUCCUGAUGUCUUCGGAAGGAUUUGAGUAAGAGCAUAGCUGUUGGGACCCGAAAGAUGGUGAACUAUGCGUGAAUAGGGUGAAGCCAGAGGAAACUCUGGUGGAGGCUCGCAGCGGUUCUGACGUGCAAAUCGAUCGUCAAAUUUGCGUAUAGGGGGCGAAAGACUAAUCGAACCAUCUAGUAGCUGGUUCCUGC